rnacentral:rRNA from 1 species
GAUGAACGCUGGCGGCGUGCCUAAUACAUGCAAGUCGAGCGAACAGACGAGGAGCUUGCUCCUCUGACGUUAGCGGCGGACGGGUGAGUAACACGUGGAUAACCUACCUAUAAGACUGGGAUAACUUCGGGAAACCGGAGCUAAUACCGGAUAAUAUAUUGAACCGCAUGGUUCAAUAGUGAAAGACGGUUUUGCUGUCACUUAUAGAUGGAUCCGCGCCGCAUUAGCUAGUUGGUAAGGUAACGGCUUACCAAGGCAACGAUGCGUAGCCGACCUGAGAGGCGGAUAGGCCACACUGGAGCGGAGACGCGGUCCAGACGCCUACGGGAGGCAGCAGUAGGGAAUCUUCCGCAAUAGGCGAAAGCUUGACGGAGCAACGCCGCGUGAGUGAUGAAGGUCUUCGGAUCGUAAAACUCUGUUAUGAGGGAAGAACAAAUGUGUAAGUAACUAUGCACGUCUUGACGGUACCUAAUCAGAAAGCCACGGCUAACUACGUG